rnacentral:rRNA from 1 species
AGUGAACGCUGGCGGUAGGCCUAACACAUGCAAGUCGAACGGCAGCACAGUAAGAGCUUGCUCUUACGGGUGGCGAGUGGCGGACGGGUGAGGAAUACAUCGGAAUCUACUUUUUCGUGGGGGACAACGUAGGGAAACUUACGCUAAUACCGCAUACGACCUACGGGUGAAAGCAGGGGAUCUUCGGACCUUGCGCGAUUGAAUGAGCCGAUGUCGGAUUAGCUAGUUGGCGGGGUAAAGGCCUACCAAGGCGACGAUCCGUAGCUGGUCUGAGAGGAUGAUCAGCCACACUGGAACUGAGACACGGUCCAGACUCCUACGGGAGGCAGCAGUGGGGAAUAUUGGACAAUGGGCGCAAGCCUGAUCCAGCCAUACCGCGUGGGUGAAGAAGGCCUUCGGGUUGUAAAGCCCUUUUGUUGGGAAAGAAAAGCAGCAGGUUAAUACCCCGCUGUUCUGACGGUACCCAAAGAAUAAGCACCGGCUAACUUCGUG